AUGAAACACGACGUGAGCAUAUGGACUUCAAUGGCAAAAUUGUUUUUGGUGAAAUUAUAUAAAGCACUUUGCUUCGAGUAUAUGCCCAAGGGGAGCCUUCAAAGGCAUCUUUCUGAUGAAUGUAAUGGACUUGAUUGGCAAACACGUUACAAAAUUAUCAAAGGGGCCUGUGAAGGUUUAAAAUACCUCCAUGAAGGAUUCGAAAAACCAUUUUACCACUUGGACCUAAAACCAGACAAUAUACUUCUAGAUAAAAACAUGGUCCCUAAACUGGCAGAUAUUGGUUUGUCCAAGCUUUUUUGGCGAAGAACAAACUAG
rnacentral:rRNA from 1 species